rnacentral:rRNA from 1 species
UACGUAGGGGGCUAGCGUUGUCCGGAUUUAUUGGGCGUAAAGAGCGUGUAGGCGGCCUGACAGGUCUGCUGUGAAAACUCGAGGCUUAACCUCGAGCUGUCGGCGGAAACCAUCUGGCUAGAGUCCGGAAGAGGAGAAUGGAAUUCCCGGUGUAGCGGUGAAAUGCGCAGAUAUCGGGAAGAACACCCGUGGCGAAGGCGGUUCUCUGGGACGGUACUGACGCUGAGACGCGAAAGCGUGGGGAGCGAACAGG